GAAAGCGCUGUCUCAUAUACCCCGCGCGUGUCGUGUAAAUAACUUUAUACUGUGAAACUGCGGAUGGCUCAUUAAAACAAUUAUCGUUUAUUUGAUGGUCUCUUACUACUUGGAUAACCGUAGUAAUUCUAAAGCUAAUACAUGCACAAAAACCCGACUUCUGGAAGGGUUGGAUUUAUUUUAUACAGAACCAACCCACUCCGGUGGUUUUUGGUGAUUCAUAAUAACUUCGCGAAUCGCAUUGCUUUACCCUGGCGAUGAUUCAUUCAAAUUUCUGCCCUACCAACUUUCUAUGGUAGGAGAGAGGCCUACCCUGGUGGUAGCGGGUAACGGAGAAUUAAGGUUCUAUUCCGGAGAGGAGGCUGAUGACGGCUACCACAUCCAUCCAGGGCGGCAGGAGGGCAGAUAACCCAACCCUGACCCACGGAGGUAGUGACGAAAAAUAACAAACAAUAACGAACCUUCCUUGGUUUGGAGUGAGAGCAAAUUAAAUCCCUUCC
rnacentral:rRNA from 1 species